UACGAAGGGGGCUAGCGUUGCUCGGAAUCACUGGGCGUAAAGCGCACGUAGGCGGAUCUUUAAGUCAGGGGUGAAAUCCUGGAGCUCAACUCCAGAACUGCCUUUGAUACUGAGGAUCUCGAGUCCGGGAGAGGUGAGCGGAACUGCGAGUGUAGAGGUGAAAUUCGUAGAUAUUCGCAAGAACACCAGUGGCGAAGGCGGCUCACUGGCCCGGUACUGACGCUGAGGUGCGAAAGCGUGGGGAGCAAACAGG
rnacentral:rRNA from 1 species